rnacentral:rRNA from 1 species
GGGACACGUGGUAUCCUGUCUGAAUAUGGGGGGACCAUCCUCCAAGGCUAAAUACUCCUGACUGACCGAUAGUGAACCAGUACCGUGAGGGAAAGGCGAAAAGAACCCCGGCGAGGGGAGUGAAAAAGAACCUGAAACCGUGUACGUACAAGCAGUGGGAGCACGCUUAGGCGUGUGACUGCGUACCUUUUGUAUAAUGGGUCAGCGACUUAUAUUCUGUAGCAAGGUUAACCGAAUAGGGGAGCCGAAGGGAAACCGAGUCUUAACUGGGCGUUAAGUUGCAGGGUAUAGACCCGAAACCCGGUGAUCUAGCCAUGGGCAGGUUGAAGGUUGGGUAACACUAACUGGAGGACCGAACCGACUAAUGUUGAAAAAUUAGCGGAUGACUUGUGGCUGGGGGUGAAAGGCCAAUCAAACCGGGAGAUAGCUGGUUCUCCCCGAAAGCUAUUUAGGUAGCGCCUCGUGAAUUCAUCUCCGGGGGUAGAGCACUGUUUCGGCAAGGGGGUCAUCCCGACUUACCAACCCGAUGCAAACUGCG